rnacentral:sRNA from 2 species
UGGCGCUACCACCCCGGCGAAGGCCGGGGUCCAGCAUCGGGCCGGUCGUAACUGGACCCCGGCCUGCGCCGGGGUGGUAAGAGGA